AGCCUUCUGAAUCCGUGCUGAGAUUUCGUCAGACACCAACCCAUUAGAGCUGAUCAGACUUCCAAGAUAAGUGAAGAC
rnacentral:pre_miRNA from 1 species